rnacentral:lncRNA from 11 species
CUCCCACAAUUCCUAACAGCCUACCGGCUGUUAGGAAUUGUGGGAGUUAGAGUCCAAAGCGCCUGGAGGGCCGAAGUUGGCCCAUGCCGGCUCCGGAGCAUCAGAAAACAAGCCUUGCCCAUUCUUCCUCCUCCAUGUGAUAUCCUUUUUGAUAUUCAGACCUUCUUUUCUCCCAGGGAAACAUCUCCAGAUCUUCAGCUGCUCCUCAAAGGGCUUCAUGGCUUCCAGGCCAAACGAACCCAGCUGCAGGGGCUCAAGACUGGCCGCCUCCCAUAGAGAGAGAAAUAGACAGAGCAAAGAUGGAGCCCUGGCUGGGAGUGCAGGAGCAGCUUGAAGCCCUGGGACGUUCCCUGCGUGGCCUGGUGGCCCUGAUCCUCUCGUGUCUUCUCCUCCUCCUCCUCCUGAGUUGCUCCUUCCUCCUCGGAUGGCGGCCACGUCCCAGGGGAGCCCGUAUCUCAGGAGAACCUUCUCCGCAGCUUCUUCAAGUAGUUCCGCACAAAACUAGGAACGGGGCCACCACCAAGCAGGCCCUGCAACCGUCCAGAAGAGGGUCUUCAGCCUAUCCAAUGGCCGCUUCAUGCUGCAUGACCCACGGAUGUAGGGGGAAGACCCUACACCCAAAGAGGCACGGGCAGGGAACAGUGGCCUCCUCCAGUGACGUUGCCUUGGUGCCCCCCAACUCUCCCGUCACCACCUCCGGGACUGGGGGUCUUCCGGACGGAGCCUUUGCCGGCAGCUGCUUCACCAGCACCCAGGAGAAGGUCCGGGGCCCUACCACCACCUGUUCUGAUCGGGUGCCUUUUGAAUACAGCAGUAGCAUCCGGGGUGAAGGGCCUUCGAGGGCCCCGUUCACUUCUGGAAACUUCACGGCGACUCCAGGGCCAGGUCUGGACACAGAUUUCGGAGCCAGUGCUGGUGUCUCUGUCCGGAUCCUGUCGUCGGACGGUGAUGGAAGCCCUGACACGUCUCUCUUUCCCCGACGGCUGUCCGGACGCUUUGAGUGGGACUAUUACGACCCCAGCUUCGAGAGGAAAAGCCAAGCCCACCCCCAGCCCCCUCCCAUCAGCAGCAAGCAAUACUGGCUGUAG